rnacentral:rRNA from 1 species
UACGAAGGGGGCUAGCGUUGUUCGGAAUUACUGGGCGUAAAGCGCGCGCAGGCGGCUAUCCAAGUCAGUGGUGAAAUCCUGGAGCUCAACUCCAGAACUGCCUUCGAUACUGGGAAGCUCGAGUCCGGGAGAGGUGAGUGGAACUGCGAGUGUAGAGGUGAAAUUCGUAGAUAUUCGCAAGAACACCAGUGGCGAAGGCGGCUUACUGGCCCGGUACUGACGCUGAGGUGCGAAAGCGUGGGGAGCAAACAGG